AUACUUACCUGGAUAGGGUCAAUGGUUGAUCAAAAAGAGCCAUGACCUAGACUAGUGACCUCUAUUGCACUAUUGGUGGGGUGCUAGCCUAAGGCCUCCCUAAAUGAGAGAGCCUAUGUCAUAAUUUGUUGCAGAGGGGGCUUGCGUUCGCGCAGCCCUCAC
rnacentral:snRNA from 1 species